GACAGAGGGUGCAAACGUUGUUCGGAAUUACUGGGCGUAAAGCGAGUGUAGGCGGUGUGGUAAGUCGGAUGUGAAAGCCCCGGGCUCAACCCGGGAAGUGCAUUCGAUACUGCCACGCUAGAGUAUCGGAGAGGUUGGUGGAAUUCUCGGUGUAGAGGUGAAAUUCGUAGAUAUCGAGAGGAACACCGGUGGCGAAGGCGGCCAACUGGACGAAUACUGACGCUGAGACACGAAAGCGUGGGUAGCAAACAGG
rnacentral:rRNA from 1 species